rnacentral:lncRNA from 12 species
AUGAGCGUGUGCGUGCAUGUGAGCGUGUCACAGAUGUCUUCCCCACUGGUGUGUGAGGGCUGCUGGCGUGCACGUGUGUAUCUGCGUCUGUGUGUGUGUGUUUGUACUGGUUUAAAAAGUGACCAAGUGAACUCAAGCAGAAAGCAUCCAAGGUCAGGAAGGGCGCUGCUACGUGGACUUGGAACGUGUGAACCCAGGGCCUCAGGAGCAAGGGGCAGAGGGCACGCCGCAGCAGGUGGUCCUGCUGGUCCCUGCGCCCCUGCAGCGGGCGGAGAAGCCACUGCUGACCGGGACGGGGUGGAGAAGGGAGACCCCAGGGCGCUGGGGGACAAGGGCAGGACAUACACCGUGUCUGGACUUUAACAUCCCUCUCUGCCCCGCCGACACUGUGCCCUGGGGAGCUGCCCACCAGGUAGGUGCCUUUGCCCACCUGACUCCCUCACCCCCUGGUUUCCAGCCGAUCAGAGGGAGUGGCAGGACAUCACAGGGAGGAAAGCAGACGGGAGGGCUGCUUGUUCUUCCUCACCGGCCUUUAGGAGCACAGAUCCCACCAGAUGGCCCUUCCUGAGGCCCUGGGCCUCGCUCUGGUGACAAGCAUCCUUCUUCCCACACCCCUUCAGCCUGGGGGUGGUCAUAGCUUCUUCUGUCACAGGUCUCUCGGUGCCUCAGCAGCCCUGGUGGUUCUCUCAAUGCUGCCAACACCUCUGAAAAUGCUCUUUUCAUUAACAAAUCUCUUUGCCCCCCCCCAUAAGUGGGCCAUCUGUUUCCUGUCCUAUUCUGAGAGAUGCCAGUCUCGUGGUGUGCCAGGCACAGCGCACACAACCCAGAGGGUCCCAGCAGCACCUGUACAAAACCCCCACUAAAGCAUUUGGUGGCACCUGUGUGUGGGGCACCUGGGCUGAGUUCGGGGACGCGGCCUACCCCGAGGAGCCCCGGGGGGCCUCCGUUAGACGGAGCAGAGUCCAGCUCCAGAAGCUGGGGUGGUGAGCAAGGAGGAGGGAGCCUCUUGGAAUCAGGCCUGAGUGUAAUGGGGAGUCGCCCACAACUGGAGGGGAGAUCCAAAGUGGCCCCUGGAACCUGCCCUGGCUCGCCCCAGGGUGCUGGGAGGCUCCGCUGGGCAGGGGAGGCCUGAAAGACAGACCUUCCUGCCAGCGCCGAGCUCUCCAAACAGCGCCCAGCGGGAAGUGCAGAGCGGCUGCUCUUCCUUCUGGGCUGAAGCCGCUCUCUGCUGACUUCCCUUCCUGCCCCGCUUCCCCCUUUGUCUCCCCCUGCCCCGCCCUCUUGCCCCAGCUCUGGCUCCGCUGUCAGCCCCCAGGACCCUCCAAAGAGAGCAAGCCCUUGGCGCAGGGCCGCCAAGCCCGGU